rnacentral:rRNA from 1 species
CACAGAGUUUGCCGGUGCUUCCUCCACUGGUACCAUCAGACCACCCGAACUUUCCCCGGAUGGCUAUUUUUCCCAGUUGACAGAGCUUUACAACCCGAAGGCCUUCCUCACUCACGCGGCGUGGCUGCGUCAGACUUUCGUCCAUUGCGCAAUAUUCCCUACUGCUGCCUCCCGUAGGAGUCUGGACCGUGUUUCAGUUCCAGUGUGCCUGGUCAUCCUCUCAGACCAGGUACCCAUCAUUGUCUUGGUAAGCCAUUACCCCACCAACUAACUAAUGGGACGCAGACUCAUCCUUCGGCGAUUGCUUGCGCCAUCUUUCCUUACAAGAACUUCACGAACUCGUAAGCUUACUUGGCAUUAGCCCGUCUUUCGACAGGUUAUUCCAAUCCAAAGGGUAGAUUAUCCACGUGUUACUCACCCGUGCGCCGCUUUACUCAUCCUUGCGGACUUUCGCGCUCGACUUGCAUGUAUGAGGCCCGCCGCCAGCGUUCGUUCUGAGCCAGGA